CACAAGAUACCUCUCCAUCAUCUCCUUCUUUUUUUUUCUUUUGUUACCAAAACCUAAUCUAAACUCACUCUCUUACAAAACUCAGACAAACACCCUCAUCUUUAACCCACCCUCUCUCGAUCUCCCCUGCAACCACACACCCACUGUCAACCUCUCUCACUCUCAAACAAGGUCGCCGGAAUCCGGCGAUGACCGACAAAUGUCUGGCGACGGCGACGACGGGCGGCAACAGCGCCGCCGUCUGCGGCGGCUGCGGCGGUGGCUAGGGUUGAAUGCGGGGUGGAGAUGCGGCGUCGUGGUUCAGCUCAACAUCGGCUUCAGGUCUGGCUCGGGCUAAUCGGCUGCUCAGAUUAGUUUUUUUGGUUCGUUUCAUUUUGGUUCGUGUUCGUUUCAGUUUCGAAUCGGGUUCUUCAGACCGGUCCAACUCGACUCUCGGUCAAGUUCGGGUGUCGGUUCGUGUGUCGGGUCAACGCCAGUCAAACUGCUCAGCGAGCUCGCCGUAAUCGGAACUCGCGUGUUACGUCUUCGGAUAAUCUAUCUUGUUCGGUCUCUUGGAUUUCCCAAUCUUUUACUCGUGCGUUACUUUACAAGGAAACGCAAACGCAGUCAAUGUUGACAGUCAAGAUGUUGAAGAAUCAAGUUAGGAUGGACUUAGAUACUCAUUCAAUAAUAAACAAUGUUGUUGCAAUUUGACUUAUUUGAAAUCAUGUAUUCAAAUUUUAGUCAUUUAUGAAAUUGGAUUUAAAUUAUAUUGUCACAUAGUGUUAUGAUGUCUCUUGCAAUCUAGUUUUCGUCUCAUCCCGAUAUUUCCGCCAUCGGUUGGGGUGUGACAGAUAAACACUAGGAUAAUAGUGGUUGUUCUAGUAAUGUUUGACAUGUAUGAAGUGAUUUUAGAAUUUUAGAAGAUAAAGUUCAUGUAAAAUAGUUGAUUGAUGAAAAAUUAAGGCUAUAUGAUAAGUUGAGAACUUGAUAAUAUAUAGUGUAAAUUUCUGCCCUUAAAGUGUUCGCAUAAAUGCCUCAAAGAAGGCUUAAAUCUGAAAAUUUAAGCUAAACCGCAUGAUUUUGAUGUUUAGGCAAAAUAUGCGAAUUGUGAAUUGAAAAGAGUUCUAAACAUGUUUUGGUUGA